rnacentral:rRNA from 1 species
CUACGGGUGGCUGCAGUGGGGAAUAUUGGACAAUGGGGGAAACCCUGAUCCAGCAAUGCCGCGUGUGUGAAGAAGGCCUGCGGGUUGUAAAGCACUUUCGGUUGGGAGGACUGCUUCUAGCACUAAUAUUGUUGGAAGUUGACGUUACCUUCAGAAGAAGCACCGGCUAACUCCGUGCCAGCGGCCGCGGUAAUACGGAGGGUGCAAGCGUAAUCGGAAUUACUGGGCGUAAAGCGCGCGUAGGCGGCUAGAUCAGUCGGGUGUGAAAGCCCCGGGCUUAACCUGGGAACUGCAUCCGAUACUGUCUAGCUUGAGUACAGGAGAGGAGAGUGGAAUUCCACAUGUAGCGGUGAAAUGCGUAGAUAUGUGGAGGAACACCAAUGGCGAAGGCAGCUCUCUGGCCUGAUACUGACGCUGAGGUGCGAAAGCGUGGGGAGCAAACAGGAUUAGAUACCCCCGUAGUC